UACGAAGGGGGCUAGCGUUGCUCGGAAUCACUGGGCGUAAAGGGUGCGUAGGCGGGUUUUAAGUCAGAGGUGAAAUCCUGGAGCUCAACUCCAGAACUGCCUUUGAUACUGAAAGUCUUGAGUAUGGGAGAGGUGAGUGGAACUGCGAGUGUAGAGGUGAAAUUCGUAGAUAUUCGCAAGAACACCAGUGGCGAAGGCGGCUCACUGGCCCAUUACUGACGCUGAGGCACGAAAGCGAUGGGGAGCAAACAG
rnacentral:rRNA from 1 species